rnacentral:rRNA from 1 species
ACGUAGGGAGCGAGCGUUAUCCGGAUUUAUUGGGUGUAAAGGGUGCGUAGACGGGAAUACAAGUUAGUUGUGAAAUACCUCGGCUUAACCGAGGAACUGCAACUAAAACUAUAUUUCUUGAGUACAGGAGAGGUAAGUGGAAUUCCUAGUGUAGCGGUGAAAUGCGUAGAUAUUAGGAGGAACACCAGUGGCGAAGGCGACUUACUGGACUGAAACUGACGUUGAGGCACGAAAGUGUGGGGAGCAAACAG